CAAAUCAAUAGCAGACAAAGCGUCACUGGAACGGAGUCAGGUCAGCCUUGUUGAAUUGUUUGGGCUAAGAUAUAAUUCAAACUGAAAAUGGAUACUUGUGAUUGCUCAAAAACUGGACGCUGCAGUUGCGGUGGAAUCUGCAAGUGUACAAAAUGCGGAUGUGCCACGAAAAGUUGUUCCUGCUGCCCACCUGGAUGCAGCAAGUGCGCCGCUGGUUGUGUGUGUGCAAGGAGGGCAAGAUGCAAGAUGUGUGACACAAGCUGCUGUCAGUGAGGGCUUGACGCAUGACACUCCAUGUCCUCUACCCGUGCACAUGACAUUAUCCCUGUUGUACUACACAAGUAUUGUAAUAAAUUGCAGCUCCAAUU